UACGUAGGGUGCGAGCGUUGUCCGGAAUUAUUGGGCGUAAAGAGCUCGUAGGCGGCUAGUCACGUCGGAUGUGAAAACCCGAGGCUCAACCUCGGGCCUGCAUUCGAUACGGGCUGGCUAGAGUACUGCAGGGGAGACUGGAAUUCCUGGUGUAGCGGUGAAAUGCGCAGAUAUCAGGAGGGAACACCGGUGGCGAAGGCGGGUCUCUGGGCAGUAACUGACGCUGGAGGAGCGAAAGCCGUGGGGAGCGAACAGG
rnacentral:rRNA from 1 species